rnacentral:ncRNA from 1 species
UGCCGAUGCCAGGGGAGCUUUUGCUGAGACCCGAAUCAGACCUGAUUCCGGGACCCUCAACACCUGAACCGGAUAAUGCCGGCGUAGGGAGGCAAUAUUUUGUGAUA